rnacentral:rRNA from 1 species
GACGAACGCUGGCGGCGUGCUUAACACAUGCAAGUCGAGCGGUAAGGCCCUUUCGGGGGUACACGAGCGGCGAGCGGGUGAGUAACACGUGGGUGACCUGCCCUCAGCUCUGGGAUAAGCCUGGGAAACCGGGUCUAAUACUGGAUAUGACUCCAUGACGCAUGUUGUGGGGUGGAAAGCCUUGUGCGGCUGAGGAUGGGCCCGCGGCCUAUCAGCUUGUUGGUGGGGUGAUGGCCUACCAAGGCGACGACGGGUAGCCGGCCUGAGAGGGCGACCGGCCACACUGGGACUGAGACACGGCCCAGACUCCUACGGGAGGCAGCAGUGGGAAUCUUGCGCAAUGGGCGAAAGCCUGACGCAGCGACGCCGCGUGAGGGAUGACGGCCU